AUUGAUGAGCAGUUCUUGCGUGAGGAUCCGAUGGACGAGUUGCACCAAGUUCUAUAAGAGCUAUAGAGAAAGGAUGAGGAAAUUUGAUAUCUUAAACUAUCAAAAGAUGUAUGCAAUAGGCUUUCUCCAGCUGAAGGAUCCUCUUCAAUCAAUGGGGUCUCAAAAACCCUUGAUUUCUACAAUCACAUCCAUUGUCUCCCAAAAGUUUCUUGCCUUCUCGUCAUAAAUCCAACACUGAUCCAUCAGAGAAGUUCAUCAAGGAGCUCCGGGAUGACUUGGAGACAGUAUAUGUUGGGCAAACAUGCCUCUCAUGGGAAUUCCUCCG